AACCACAACUCUGCUCAAAGACAACCAGCAAUGUAUUUCCCAAAACACCCUGAACUUGCUUUUACAGAUUAUUACAAUUCCUCUACUAACCUAGUACUGUAGACAUCAUUAACUCAACUAGUAAUAAUGUAUUCCCUCCGUCCCAUAAUAUAAGAACGUUUUUAACACUACACUGUCAAAAUCCCCAGCUCCUGAAUCACUGCUAUGAUUACCACGCCAUCCAAGUGCAGUAUAAGCAUCAGUCAUGCAAACCAUACCUGCUAGUUUACUGAAACUGAAAUUAUCAGGGAACUCGUGAACCAUCCCGACUUGCUUGCAUACUGCAGGUCAGGCUUCCAUUACCUACAAUACCGCAGCAUUUUCUAGGGAAGCAGUUACCCACAACUUGAACUCUUCUCUAGAGAAUUUUGGUUCAUGAGGCCUUUCAUUCAAAGCUUCCUAUACACUCACUUCCCUCUGGGAACGCAAGUAAAACACUGACCUUGUACAGCUAGGAAUCAACAAGUUCCUGGAGGACAGUCUGACUGACAACAAAUUACACCUGCCCAGAUUCUCUAAGGAUUCAUUCCAAAGCUUGCCCAGAUCUCUAGUGGCUAAGACAGUCUGUGCCACUUCCUACUCACUUCAUUCACUGCCACUCAAUGUAAAAUAUUUGGAGACCAUGACAUCUCUAAUGCAACCGAUACAGAGGAGCUAACCGCAGUUCCCUCCACAUUUUCUCAUCCGGGCUUGGGACCGGCAAAG
rnacentral:rRNA from 1 species